UACGGAGGGUGCAAGCGUUAAUCGGAAUUACUGGGCGUAAAGCGCACGCAGGUGGCUGAGUAAGUCGAUUGUGAAAGCCCUGGGCUUAACCUGGGAAUUGCAGUCGAUACUGCUCGGCUAGAGUAUGGGAGAGGGUAGUGGAAUUCCGGUGUAGCGGUGAAAUGCGUAGAUAUCGGGAGGAACACCUGAGGCGAAGGCGGGCUACUGGGCCGAUACUGACGCUGAUGCGCGAAAGCCAGGGAGCGAACGGG
rnacentral:rRNA from 1 species